UACGAAGGGUGCAAGCGUUAAUCGGAAUUACUGGGCGUAAAGCGUGCGCAGGCGGCUUUGCAAGACAGAUGUGAAAUCCCCGGGCUCAACCUGGGAACUGCAUUUGUGACUGCAAGGCUAGAGUACGGCAGAGGGGGAUGGAAUUCCGCGUGUAGCAGUGAAAUGCGUAGAUAUGCGGAGGAACACCAAUGGCGAAGGCAAUCCCCUGGGCCUGUACUGACGCUCAUGCACGAAAGCGUGGGGAGCGAACAGG
rnacentral:rRNA from 1 species